GAUGAACGCUGGCGGCGUGCUUAACACAUGCAAGUCGAACGGAAAGGCCCAAGCUUGCUUGGGUACUCGAGUGGCGAACGGGUGAGUAACACGUGGGUGAUCUGCCCUGCACUUCGGGAUAAGCCUGGGAAACUGGGUCUAAUACCGGAUAGGACGAUGGUUUGGAUGCCAUUGUGGAAAGUUUUUUCGGUGUGGGAUGAGCUCGCGGCCUAUCAGCUUGUUGGUGGGGUAAUGGCCUACCAAGGCGUCGACGGGUAGCCGGCCUGAGAGGGUGUACGGCCACAUUGGGACUGAGAUACGGCCCAGACUCCUACGGGAGGCAGCAGUGGGGAAUAUUGCACAAUGGGCGCAAGCCUGAUGCAGCGACGCCGCGUGGGGGAUGACGGCCUUCGGGUUGUAAACUCCUUUCGCUAGGGACGAAGCGUUUUUGUGACGGUACCUGGAGAAGAGGCACCGGCUAACUACGUG
rnacentral:rRNA from 1 species